UGCCACUUACAGAGAUGGCUCCUUUCUCAUUUGUCCAUUCAAGCGGAGCAGGGAAGCCGAUUUUGAGAUUCACCACCACCCGGCAACACCGACUGGCUGAGAUAAUCCUUCGCAGAGUGUGCGUGAGUGCAUGGGUAUCUUCUCCACCGCAACGUCUCCGCUUGCAGAGUUCCUAAUUAGGCCUAGAGAAGAUGUGGACCUGAGGAAUUCCAUGAAGAAAACACCAGAUUGAAUUGCAAGAGGUCCCAGCUUGGAGCGCGGAGGGGAGGAGGAGAAUCUCCCCCCACCAAAGCCCCGCGGGCACAGGAGGAGCGCGGGCAGUCCUGUCCUCAGCACACCCGCGCUGGUGACGUGCUCAGGAGACA